rnacentral:rRNA from 1 species
GAGUGAACGCUAGCGGCAGGCUUAAUACAUGCAAGUCGAGGGGCAUCAAGGUACACGAAAGUGUAUUGUUGGCGACCGGCGGACGGGUGAGUAAUAGGUAGGUAACCUACCUCAUACUGAGGCAUAGCUGGGAGAAAUUCCAGGUAAUUCCUCAUGAGGUUAUAUGACACAUGUGAUAUAAUCAAAGGUAUCGCAAGGUACUGGUAUGAGAUGGGCUUACUGACCAUUAGCUAGUUGGUGAGAUAAGAGCUCACCAAGGCGAAGAUGGUUAGGGGUUUUGAGAGAGAGAUCCCCCACAUUGGAACUGAGAUACGGUCCAGACUCCUACGGGAGGCAGCAGUAGGGAAUAUUGGGCAAUGGGCGGAAGCCUGACCCAGCCAUGCCGCGUGAGGGAAGAAGGCCUUCGGGUUGUAAACCUCUGUCAUGGGGGAAGAAGUAAGUGACGGUACCCCAAGAGGAAGCCCCUGCUAACUACGUG